rnacentral:rRNA from 1 species
CUCGUAGGCGGUUUGUCGCGUCGGGAGUGAAAACUCAGGGCUUAACUCUGAGCUGGCUUCCGAUACGGGCAGACUAGAGGUAUGCAGGGGAGAACGGAAUUCCUGGUGUAGCGGUGAAAUGCGCAGAUAUCAGGAGGAACACCGGUGGCGAAGGCGGUUCUCUGGGCAUUACCUGACGCUGAGGAGCGAAAGUGUGGGGAGCGAACA